rnacentral:rRNA from 1 species
GAGUUUGAUCCUGGCUCAGGAUGAACGCUGGCGGCGUGCUUAACACAUGCAAGUCGAACGGAGAUAUCAUUUUCGAAGCGAUUAGUUUACUAAGAGCGGAGAUGUUGCUAUCUUAGUGGCGGACGGGUGAGUAACGCGUGGGUAACCUGCCUUGCACUGGGGGAUAACACUUAGAAAUAGGUGCUAAUACCGCAUAACAGUAGGAGACGCAUGUCUUUUACUUGAAAACUCCGGUGGUGUAAGAUGGACCCGCGUCUGAUUAGCUUGUUGGCGGGGUAACGGCCCACCAAGGCAACGAUCAGUAGCCGGCCUGAGAGGGUGAACGGCCACAUUGGGACUGAGACACGGCCCAAACUCCUACGGGAGGCAGCAGUGGGGAAUAUUGGACAAUGGGGGGAACCCUGAUCCAGCGACGCCGCGUGAGUGAAGAAGUAUUUCGGUAUGUAAAGCUCUAUCAGCAGGGAAGAAAGAAAUGACGGUACCU